ACCUCCUCCACUGUGGGAACCU
rnacentral:miRNA from 1 species